rnacentral:rRNA from 1 species
GCUUAAAGCGUGCGUUAGGCGGACUUGCAAGUACUUUGUGAAAUCCCAGGGCUCAACCCUGGAACUGCUUGGUAAACUGCAAGUCUUGAGCUAGACAGAGGUCGUCGGAACGAUAGGUGGACCGGUGAAAUGCGUAGAUAUCNAUCGGAACGCCAAAGGUGAAGACAGGCGACUGGGUCUAUGCUGACGCUCAGGUACGAAAGCGUGGGUAGCGAACGGGAUUAGAUACCCCGGUAGUCCACGCCAUAAACGAUGUGCACUAGAUCGAGGAGGUUUUGACGCCAUCUCGGUCGAAGUCAAAGCGUUAAGUGCACCGCCUGGGGAGUACGGUCGCAAGGCUAAAACUCAAAGGAAUUGACGGGGGCUCACACAAGCGGUGGAGCAUGUGGCUUAAUUCGAAGCUACGCGAAGAACCUUAUCCAGGGUUUGACAUGUACGGAUUAUUGAUCUGAAAAGUGAUAGACACUCUUUGAGUGGAACGUACACAGGUGCUGCAUGGCUGUCGUCAGCUCGUGCUGUGAAGUGUCGGGUUAAGUCCCUUAACGAGCGAAACCCCUGUCGUUAGUUGCUAGCAGGUUAUGCUGAGGACUCUAACGAGACUGCCGGUGUCAAACCGGAGGAAGGUGGGGACGACGUCAAGUCAUCAUGGCCUUUAUGCCCUGGGCUGCACACGUGCUACAAUGGCGCGCACAGACCGAAGCAAUACCGUAAGGUGGAGCAAAUCGGAAAAAUCGCGCCCCAGUUCGGAUUGUGGUCUGCAACUCGACCACAUGAAGGUGGAAUCGCUAGUAAUCGCGUAUCAGCAAUGACGCGGUGAUACGUUCCUGAGCAUUGUACACACCGCCCGUCACGUCAUGGAAGCUGGGAGCACCCGAAGUCGCCUCGCCUCAGAGGUGC